AGGGAGCAGGCCGCUGUCGCAGCCGACUUUCAGGAUGGGGAGGUUGCAAUCCUAAACCAUAUGCCCAGGCCUUGCAUUAUGCAGGAUUCUGCUGAUUGCUGUUCAGAAACGGUGCUGCGUUUCAGUGUAGGAAUGAAGAUAACAAGAUGGCGUCUUGUAGAUCUCUUCUGCUUAGUUGGCUCCUUUAAAGCGCAGGAGUACAGCAUGCUGCUCGGGUUCAUGGAAAAUAGGGGUGACCAGCAUUCAUUGGCUACUCAGCCACGUGUUUGGUGGCUCCUGCACUGGGAAGCUUUUGUACCACGUUUUGGGUCCUUAUUUGAGGAACUGUGUAAAUGUGCAGUGACAUCUCUGGGAGCUGCUUGCAACAUCUGCCAAAAAAACAGCCCCAAGCUCAGGAAGGGAACUGGUGGGAGUUGUCUUUCACACAGCGAAGCUAGAGGCGAGCUGGUGGGAUUGUCACAAAAGAAAAACAGUAUUGGUAUCUUGCUACAAUGUCUUCUGUGUGAAAGCCUGAAGUCCCCCUCCUGCGCAAGUGAAAUGUGAGGGUGGAGAUAGCUCUGGGGCAGAUCCUCUGAUAUAAAAUGAGCAGAGGGACUGAAGGUUUACACAGAACCGUUAGAAAGCUGUAGGCCAGCUGCAGGGGAGAGCUGUGAUAGCGGCUGUUGCAGAAUCGGUCUGUGAGGCCUACUUGGCUUCCCGCUGUAACUGCACAGUCUAGGUACUGGUUUUGUGUCUUGAGCAGUGUUUGUGCCUACAGCUGCCAGAUUGCUUUUGCUGCACGUAAAGAAAAAUCUAGUGAGAACAGUAGUUCUGGUACCAAGUUAUAAAAGGAUUGUGGCACAACUACAUGGUAAAAUGCUCCUGUAGCAGCCCAUGGUGCUGCUCUGCUGCUCGCCUUUCCCAGGGGCCUGGAAGAAGCUGCUCUGGAAGCAACACAAGGGUGACUGGGGGAGGUCUGAGCUUCAGACAUUUGCCUGGGCUUUGAUGUUAUGCAUCUGUUGAAGUUAGUAUACUUGUGUAUAUAUUUAUACUUUGUGUGUGUAUGUAUAUUUAAUUAGGCUUGAAUCUACGUAUGUACUUUCCUAGAAAUGAUUCAAAUGCUUCCUUUU
rnacentral:lncRNA from 7 species